CUACAGUGAGUUGACAAUUCCUCACUUGUCUGCGCCAUUAAUGACGGCGCCAUACCAUGCUCCACUAUAUAAAUCGAGGAAGGCAACAGUGCAAGGGAUCCGCUCCCCCCACUUCUCGACUCCAAAACCACAGGCUCGCUCCUCUCUCCCUCUCUCUCCCUCGAUCGAACUCUCUGUCUUCAUUUCACUGUUGCCCAGUCACCUCUCUGACUUGACCGUCGGAGGGUCCCCGCCGGAGCCGCCUCCGGUCAGUGUGGACUUCUCGUUUUUGCAGGUGCACGUUCCCCGGCGAUCGGACGACGAGGCGAUUGGCCGCAACA
rnacentral:lncRNA from 1 species